GGGUUAACAGGGACUUUGGGAAGAUUAGCCCCACCUUGUGGGUUAACAAGGACUUUGGGAAGAUUAGCCCCACCUUGUGAGUUAACAGGGACUUCGGGAAGAUUAGCCCCACCUUGUGAGUUAACAGGGACUUUGGGAAGAUUAGCCUCACCUUGUGGGUUAACAAGGACUUUGGGAAGAUUAGCCCCACCUUGUGGGUUAACAAGGACUUUGGGAAGAUUAGCCCCACCUUGUGAGUUAACAGGGACUUUGGGAAGAUUAGCCCCACCUUGUGAGUUAACAGGGACUUUGGGAAGAUUAGCCUCACUUUGUGGGUUGAACCAGAUCCAAAUAAACCAAGUAACAAAACAAAACAACGGAGACAUAUCAAAGUAGUCUAACUAGUGCCACAAUGAUUUACAACGAUCCAGCCCUGAACAGCAACUCACACUGAUAUAUAUGAUAUACAGAUGUAGGAUCGUAAUUUUAUCACUGUUUUGUUUCUGAGAAUUGCAAACUUGCUGUGUUUUUUGACUUUUAAAAACCCUACAAAAAUGUCCAUUAAUUAUAAUCCACAUAAUUCACAUUUCCUAUUGAAGCAGGAUUAUUUUACUGCUGUAGCAAACUGGUUCAUAUUAAGAUCCUACAUCUGUCUCUCCAUAAAGCCUUCCCAUUCCCUCCUCAAGACUUGUCAAUAACGGGAGUCAAGGCAACGUAGCUGCAGCCAUUUUUUUCGUCAGCCUCCUUGUUGCUCACAGGGGAAUAAGAUGUGUCUUCCUUUGUUGACUUCUAUAGAUGAAGACAGCGGAGGGAUGGAGAGAAUGGAGGAUGGAGUAGAGAGCAAGAGUGGAGUGAGAGAGUAGAGUGAGAGAGAGUAGAGUGAGAGAGAGAGUGGAGAGAGAGAGGUGGAGUGAGAGAGCGAGAGAGAGGAGAGAGUGGAGUGAGAAAGAGAGAGAGUGGAGUGAGAGAGAGUGGAGGGAGAGAGAGUUAAGGGAGAAAGAGUGGAGGGAGAGAAAGAGAGAGUGGCAAAAGAGAGAGAGUGGAGAGAGAAAGAGAGUGGAGAAAGGGAGAGAUAUUGGAGGGAGAGAGAGAGAGAGUGGAGGGAGAAAGAGUGGAGGGAGAAAGAGAGGAGGGAGAAAGAGAGUGGAGAGAGAGAGUGGAGGGAGAGAGAUAGUGGAGGGAGGGAGAAAGAGUGGAGGGAGAGAGAGAGAGUGGAGGGACAGAGAGAGUGGAGAGAGAGAGCGAGUAGAGGGAUGGAGACAGUGGAGGGAUGGAGAGAGUAGAGGGAGGGAGUGGAGGGAGAGAGAGUGGAGGGAGAGAGAGAGUGGAGGGAGAGAGAGAGUGGAGGGAGAGAGAGAGUGGAGGGAGAAAGAGUGGAAUGAGAAAGAGUGGAGGGAGGAAGAGUGAAGGGACAGAGAGAGUGGAGAGAGAGAAAGAGUGGAGGGAGAAAGAUUGAAGGGACAGAGAGAGUGGAGAGAGAGAGUAGAGGGAGGGAGACAGUGGUGAGUAGAGGGAGGGAGUGGAGGGAGAGAGUAGAGAGAGAGAGAGAGAGAGGGGAGAGGUAGUGGAGGGAGAGAGUGGAGGGAGAGAGUAGAGAAAGAGAGAGGGGAGAGAUAGUGGAGUGAGAGAGAGAUGAGAGAGUGGAGGGAUGGAGAGAGUGGAGGGAGAUAGCAGAGAGAGAGAGGGGAUAGUGGAGGGAGAGAGAGAGUGGAGGGAGAGAGAGAGUGGAGGGAGAGAGAGAGUGGAGGGAGAAAGAGUGGAAUGAGAAAGAGUGGAGGGAGAAAGAGUGAAGGGACAGAGAGAGUGGAGAGAGAGAGUAGAGGGAGGGAGACAGUGGUGAGUAGAGGGAGGGAGUGGAGGGAGAGAGUAGAGAGAGAGAGAGAGAGAGAGAGAGGGGAGAGGUAGUGGAGGGAGAGAGUGGAGGGAGAGAGUAGAGAAAGAGAGAGGGGAGAGAUAGUGGAGUGAGAGAGAGAUGAGAGAGUGGAGGGAUGGAGAGAGUGGAGGGAGAUAGCAGAGAGAGAGAGGGGAUAGUGGAGGGAGGUAGAGAGUGGAGGGAGAGAGGGGUGGAGACAGUGGAGGGAAGUAGAGAGUGGACGGAGAGAGGGAGGGAGACAGUGGAGGGAGGUAGAGAGUGAGGUAGAGAGUGGAGGGAAACAGUGGAGGGAGGUAGAGAGUGGACGGAGAGAGGGGUGGAGACAGUGGAGGGAGGUAGAGAGUGGAGGGAGAGAGGGAGGGAGACAGUGGAGGGAGAGAGGGAGGGAGACAGAUGGGAGAGAGGUAGAGAGUGGUUAGUUAUAGUACCAAUCUAGCGAACAAAACAUUGAAUAAAAUUGCUUGUCAGGAUCAUAAUCCUUCAGAUACAGUGUUUGUUGUACAGCCAUGCAUGUCCAAUCAGCAGGGACAUGUUGGACUGUAUAAAGGAACAGUCGGACACAGAUUAUGUUUAGGAGAAUUUCCAUUGAGCAUGUUUUUUUUCUUCAGG
rnacentral:lncRNA from 1 species